CCCAAACAAAGUUAGCGUGCUACAAUAUCGGACAGUAGAAACCAACCAGAAAGUUCGGAAAAUUGUCUGAAUCCUCCUUUGGCCACGACUGCCGACACAAGCAAGAAAACACUCAAACAUAAACAGUCAACAAGAAAACAGUCAGCAAGAAAACAGUCAACAAGAAAACAGUCAACACCAAACCGGUCAACAGGAAAACGGUCAACACCAAAACAGUCAACAAAAAACAGUCAGCAAGAAAACAG